GGGCAUUAUUCUAGGGCCAAAGGGAAUCACAGCACCACGACCACGAUGGCCCCUGCGGGGUGGCCUGCCUCUGCCUGUCAUUUUUGUUGGGAUUAGUGGUACUAUGCGUGCAAGCUACCGUGAGACCAGAUAUGAGUGGCAAUGUGCACUGGCACAGUUGUGCAGAGCACAGGCUGUAGGCCUGACACCCGCUUGAAGAUAACUAACUGCUAUUCAAUCUAUAACAGUGAAAAAAG